CCUGCCCCUAGGGCAAGCAAGCAUUGCAAAUGUGGCUGCUGUGUGUCAUGUGCUUCAACAGUUGGCAGAGAGGAGAGAGGCUAUGUCUAAGCUCAAUGUGAAUAUAUGAAUGAACAUAUAGUAGCUUCCAUG